UUCCGGGUUGCAUUCCAGUUACCGGCGUCUCGGGGUUGGGGAGAGGGGAGAGGUGAGCGGCGUGGAGUUCGGCGGCGUCUCCGUGAGACGUCCGCCCUCUGCGGACUUUCUCGCUGCUCCUGGCGGCUCGCUAGCCUCCUUCCCUCUUGAACUCAGUCCCAAUGGCGACCCUCCCCUCCUUCACCCGGAGCUGGGGGGUGUGGGCCUCGCAGAAGUCGCCCGAAGGGGACGCGCGGCCUUCCAGGGCCGGGACCCAGUUCGGGGCCACAGAAGCGUGAGCCUCUUUUCUCUCCUCCAAGAGCUCGUCGCGACAGCUUCGCGCGCCCGGAGCUGGCGCUUGCACAUACAUCCCAGGGCAGUGCGUGAGGCCAGGGGACGUCAGCCAUGCUGCAGCCGGUGUGGCCUCAGGAACCAGUGACCUUUGAGGAUGUGGCUGUGUACUUCACCCAGGAUCAGUGGGCCAGCCUGGGCCCUGGGCAGAGGGCCCUGUACAGGGAGGUGAUGCUGGAGAACUAUGCAAAUGUUACUUCCCUGGCAUUUUCAUUUCCCAAACCUGCUCUGAUCUCUAAGCUGGAAAGAGGGGAGGCACCCUGCGGCCCAGAUCCCUGGGACACAGAGGGUUUGAGAGGCAUCGGCUCAGGUGGUGAGUUCCGGAUCAAAAAGGAAGUGCCCUCAAAGCAAGAAAGCCCUGAAGAGUUGGAGUCACACAGAGUGCCUGUAGGAGGAUUCCUUGGAAAAUCUGAAUGUUCUGAUUUUAGAAACAAGCCAAGGCAGACUUGCGAUCUAAAUCCAAAUCUGAUACUCCGAGGGGGAAUGAAGUUCUAUGAAUGUAAAGAAUGUGGGAAAAUCUUCAGAUACAACUCAAAACUUAUCAGGCAUCAGAUGAGUCACACUGGGGAAAAGCCCUUUAAAUGUAAGGAGUGUGGCAAAGCUUUCAAGUCCAGCUAUGACUGCAUUGUGCAUGAGAAAAACCACAGCGGGGAAGGGCCCUAUGAAUGCAAGGAGUGUGGCAAAGGGUUGAGUUCUAACACAGCCCUGACUCAGCACCAGAGGAUCCACACUGGGGAGAAGCCCUACGUGUGUAAGGAGUGUGGCAAGGCUUUCCGCAGGAGUGCGGCACACCUGCAGCAUCAGAGGCUGCACACGGGGGAGAAGCUCUAUACAUGUCAGGAGUGCUGGAAAGCGUUUGGUUGUAGGUCACUCUUUAUUGUCCACCAGAGAAUUCACACUGGGGAGAAGCCCUACCAGUGUCAGGAGUGUGGCAAAGCCUUCACUCAGAAAAUAGCCUCCAUUCAGCAUCAGAGAGUCCACACCGGCGAGAAGCCUUACGCAUGUAAGGUGUGUGGGAAAGCCUUCAAGUGGUACGGAAGCUUUGUUCAGCAUCAGAAACUGCACCCCGUGGAGAAGAAGCCCCUCAAGCCUCUUGGGCCGUCCCUGGUCAGUGUCCAGCACCCAUCUCCAGCCUUAGCUCCAGUUGCUCUCCAGGGGUCAUGCUCUGCUCCAGCACUGACCGUGCCUUCACUGACCUUUCCACAUGCUGUGCUCAUUCCUACCUCAGGGCCUUUGCUCAUGCUGCUGCCCACACCUGGAAUACCUGCUUCACCUACCCAGCUAGUACAUGUUUUCCAGAGUUUCACUCCCACUGUGAAAUCUUGCCCAAUUAUUCUGUCCUCUUCUCACCCCUCUUGAACUUUAUCUUGGCACUCCUAUGGUCCUUACCUUCAGGAAAUCUUGCCCUUAAUUUGAGUUUCUUUUGUAUUUUUUCCUUACUUGUGUUAUAACUGUUUCAACAUAAACUCCACUAUAAUAUAUGUACACUUUUUUUUAAAGAUUCAUUUUAUUUAUUUGAAAGGCAGAGUUACAGAGAGAGGGGGAGAGACAGAGAGAGGUCUUCCAUCCACUGGUUCACUCCCCAAAUGGCUAUACCAAUCCAAAGCCAGGAGCCAGGGGUUUCUUCCAGGUCUCGCAUAUGGGUACAGAGGCCCAAGGACUUGGGUCAUCUUCCAUUGCUUUGCUAAGUGCUUUAGCAAGAAGCUGGAUUGGAAGUGGAGCAGCUGCGACUUGAACCUGUGCCCAUAUGGGAUGCUGGCACUAUGUGACUUACCUGCUAUGCCACAAUUCCAGGCCCUGUAUGUAUGCUUAAAGACUGUAUUUGUAUAAUAUAUUUUUUCUUCUGGGUAGACAAUGAAAAUACUCACCCUUUGCAUUGGUCCCUUUUAGGCUUGAACAGCUGUGACUUUAUCUGCAUCAUGGGGUUGCUGGUGUUAGAAGUGCUGGGACAACAUUAAGCUAUGCAAAGGACUAUGUGAAGUAAUUACUGGAAAAAGAACUGAGGUACGCAUUUAUUAGCAUUAUGUAAAGAAGUGAAGAAUUUUACAUUGGAAUCAUUCAAGCGGAUGACCAGAAUAAGUGUUCUUCAAGCAAAAAAGCAACCCAUGAAAGACUACUAUGAUGGCAGAAGACUGAGCCCAGUUUUUAAUGAAAUAUAGUUAUCGCACAAUGAGCUGCACAUAACCUAAGCAUUUGGUGCAUUUUGACAAUUAUGUACACGUGUGAGCCAACCCUCAAAGAAGAGGCAGAGCGUUGCUGUUACCGCAGGGCACGCCCUUCUGUCCCCCUGCCAGUCGGUACCUGUCACUCUGAUUCCGGUCCCCACUGACUGGCUUGGCCUCCGUGUUCUUUGUGACUGACUCCUUUGUCUCACUUGCUGUCCCGCGUGUGAGACCCUUUCGUGUUGUGUGUAUGCGUAGUUCUUUCCCUUUUAUUGCUGAGCAGUACGCUGAUGUGCACUCUCACGGCGCGUUUAUCCAUUCACCUGUGAGGGGCACUUGGGAUGUCUCCCGUUUUGGGCUAUUUUGAACAAAGUUGCUAUGAAUGUUUGUGUGCAAGUCUGCCUGAAUGUGGUACAGGGCUCUGAGAUGGUUCCCAAUGAUCCCUGCCUCCUGUGCCAGCCUCUUCCCUUGAGUGUUGGUGGGGACUGUGACUUCCUUCUAACCAACAGAAUGUGGCAGAGGUGAUGGGUGGUCCCUUCUGCAGUUGCAACACAUGAGAGUGUAUCUCCUGCCUUGCCAACAGGCUCUUUAAUGGCUUUGAUGAAGGAAGCCACCCUGCAGAGGGGUCCAUGUGGCAAGGAACUAGAGGUAGCUUCUAAGGGUCUCCAAGAAAUUGAGGCCCAGAGCGGAGAGUCUGACAGGGACUAGAUCAUGCUCAGCAGUUGUAGGAGCUGGGUGGGAAGUGGUUCCAUCCCAGUUGAGUAUAUGAUGAGGCCUGAGCCCUGGUCAACACCUUAAUCAGUCUUAUAAGACUUGCUGGAGCAGAAGUCCCUGCUAAACCAUGUCCAGGCUCCUUACCCAAGGAAACAGAGAUAAUAAGUAUGUGCUUUCUUUUUGUUUAAGAUUUAUUUAUUGGGGCCAGCACUGUUGUUCACUUGGUUAAUCCUCCGCCUGUGGCACUGGCAUCCCAUAUGGGCCACGGGGUUCUAGUCCUGGCUGGUCCUCUUCCAGCCCAGCUCUCUGCUGUGGCCCAGGAGGGCAGUGGAGGAUGGCCCAAGUGCUUGGGCCCCUGCACCUGCAUGGGAGACCAGGAGGAAGUACUGGGCUCCUGGCUUCGGAUUGGCACAUCCCUGGCCGUGGCGGCCAUUUGGGGGGUGAACCAACGGAAGGAAGACCUUUGUCUCUGUCUCUCUCUCUCUCUCUCACUAAUUCUAUCUGUCAAAGAAAAAAAAAAGAUUUAUUUGUUCUACUUAGUACUUUUGAUUGAAUACUGUAAUCAAUACACAGUUAUUCUUAAGUGUUGAAACUUAACUGAAAAGUGAUCACUGUUAAAUAUAAGAGUGGGAAUAAGAGAGGGAAGAGAUGUGCAAUUCAGGACAUGCUCAAGCUGACUUGCCCCAAACGGUAGAGUUAGAAACAUACCAGGGGAUUCGAAUUCAAUCCCAUCAAGGUGGCAUGUACCAAUGCCAUCUCACUAGUCCAAGUGAUCAAUUUCUGUUCACAAUUGAUCAUAAUGAUAGGACUAAGAGUCAAAGGGAUCACAUAAACAAGACUAGUGUCUGCAAAUACUAACUGAUAGAAUCAAAAAGGGAGAGAACGAUCCAACAUGGGAAGCGAGAUACACAGCAGACUCAUAGAAUGACAGAUGUCCUAAACAGCACUCUGGCCUCAUAAUCAGCCCUUAAGGCAUGCAGAUCCGGCUGAAAAGCCCAUGAGAGUAUUUCAGGCAUGGAAAGCCAAGACACUUUGGCAAAACAAAAAACAAAAAACCUAAAUGAAAUAUCUCUGUGAGUGAGAUCCCAGUGGAAAGAACAGGUCAUCAAAGAAGGAGGUACCUUUCUCUGAAGGGAGGAGAGAACUUCCACUUUGACUACAACCUUGUUUAAAUAUGAUCAGAGCCACGCUGCGGCUCAACAGGCUAAUCUUCCACCUAGCUGAGCCGGUACACCGGGUUCUAGUCCUGGUCGGGGCGCCGGAGUCUGUCCUGGUUGCCCCUCUUCCAGGCCAGCUCUCUGCUAUGGCCAGGGAGUGCAGUGGAGGAUGGCCCAAGUGCUUGGGCCCUGCAUCCCAUGGGAGACCAGGAGAAGCACCUGGCUCCUGCCUUCGGAUUGGCGUGGUGCGCCGGCCGCAGUGCGCCGGCCUUGGCGGCCAUUGGAGGGUGAACCAACGGCAAAGGAAGACCUUUCUCUCUGUCUCUCUCUCUCACUGUCCACUCUGCCUGUAAAAUAAAGAAAGAAAGAAAGAAAGAAGAUCAGAGUCGGUGAACUCAAAAGGCUUCCAUAGCCUUGGCAACUCAUGACAAGAGCCUAGGGUGAUUACUGAUGCCAUAAACAAGAGUGUCAAUUUGUAAAGUCAACAACAGGAGUCACUGUGCACUUACUCCUCAUGUAGGAUCUCUGUCCUUAAUGUGCUGUACAUUGUGAUUUAAUGCUAUAACUAGUACUCAAACAGUAUUUUUCACUUUGUGUUUCUAUGCGGGUGCAAACUGUUGUAUUCUUUACUUAAUAUAUACUAAACUGAUGUUCUGUAUAUAAAGAGAAUUGAAAAUGAACCUUGAUGUGAAUGGAAGGGGAGAGGGAGCGGGAAAGGGGAGGGUUGUGGAUGGGAGGGAA